AUUGAACGCUGGCGGCAGGCCUAACACAUGCAAGUCGAGCGAGCGGCGGACGGGUGAGUAAUGUCUGGGAAACUGCCUGAUGGAGGGGGAUAACUACUGGAAACGGUAGCUAAUACCGCAUACCAUCAGAUGUGCCCAGAUGGGAUUAGCUAGUAGGUGGGGUAACGGCUCACCUAGGCGACGCUCCCUAGCUGGUCUGAGAGGAUGACCAGCAACAAUGGAACUGAGACACGGUCCAGACUCCUACGGGAGGCAGCAGUGGGGAAUAUUGCACAAUGGGAGCAAGCCGGAUGCAGCCAGGCCGGGUGUGUGAAGAAGGCCGUGGGGUUGUAAAGCACUUUCAGCGGGGAGGCGUUACCCGCAGAAGAAGCACCGGCUAACUCCGUGCCAGCAGCCGCGGUAAUAC
rnacentral:rRNA from 1 species